rnacentral:rRNA from 1 species
UGGGGAAUAUUGCACAAUGGGCGCAAGCCUGAUGCAGCAACGCCGCGUGAGGGAUGACGGCCUUCGGGUUGUAAACCUCUUUUAGCAGGGAAGAAGCGAAAGUGACGGUACCUGCAGAAAAAAGCACCGGCUAACUACGUGCCAGCAGCCGCGGUAAUACGUAGGGUGCAGGCGUUGUCCGGAAUUAUUGGGCGUAAAGAGCUCGUAGGCGGUCUGUCGCGUCUGCUGUGAAAUCCCGAGGCUCAACCUCGGGCCUGCAGUGGGUACGGGCAGACUAGAGUGCGGUAGGGGAGAAUGGAACUCCUGGUGUAGCGGUGGAAUGCGCAGAUAUCAGGAAGAACACCGAUGGCGAAGGCAGUUCUCUGGGCCGUAACUGACGCUGAGGAGCGAAAGCGU